GUGCUCGCUUCAGCAACACAUAUACUAAAACUGGAAUGAUACAGAGAAGAUUAGCAUGGCUUCUGCACAAGGAUGACACACAAAUUCAUGAAACAUUCCAUAUAUAU
rnacentral:snRNA from 1 species